rnacentral:rRNA from 1 species
UACGUAGGGUGCGAGCGUUAAUCGGAAUUACUGGGCGUAAAGCGUGCGCAGGCGGUUCUCCAAGUCCGUUGUGAAAGCCCCGGGCUUAACCUGGGAAUGGCAUUUGGGACUGCAAGGCUGGAGUACGGCAGAGGGAGGUGGAAUUCCAGGUGUAGCAGUGAAAUGCGUAGAGAUCUGGAGGAACACCGAUGGCGAAGGCAGCCUCCUGGGCUAGUACUGACGCUCAUGCACGAAAGCGUGGGGAGCAAACAGG